GUGCCAGCAGCCGCGGUAAUACGUAGGUGGCGAGCGUUGUCCGGAAUUACUGGGUGUAAAGGGCGUGUAGGCGGGGCGUCAAGUCAGGUGUGAAAGACCGGGGCUCAACCUCGGGUAUGCAUCUGAAACUGAUGCUCUUGAGUGUCGGAGAGGAAAGCGGAAUUCCCAGUGUAGCGGUGAAAUGCGUAGAGAUUGGGAGGAACACCAGUGGCGAAGGCGGCUUUCUGGACGACAACUGACGCUGAGGCGCGAAAGCGUGGGGAGCAAACAGGAUUAGAUACCCUGGUAGUCCACGCUGUAAACGAUGGAUACUAGGUGUAGGAGGUAUCGACCCCUUCUGUGCCGGAGUUAACACAAUAAGUAUCCCACCUGGGGAGUACGGCCGCAAGGCUGAAACUCAAAUGAAUUGACGG
rnacentral:rRNA from 1 species